rnacentral:rRNA from 1 species
UACGGAGGGUGCGAGCGUUAUCCGGAAUUACUGGGUUUAAAGGGUGCGUAGGCGGCUAUGUAAGUCAGGAGUGAAAGUUUGCGGCUCAACCGUAAAAUUGCUUUUGAUACUGCAUGGCUAGAAUCAGGAUGAGGCUAGCGGAAUGUGGCAUGUAGCGGUGAAAUGCGUAGAUAUUCGUAGGAACACCAAUGGCGAAGGCAGCUUGCUGGGCUACUCCUGACACUGAGGUACGAAAGCGUGGGGAGCAAACAGG